GUCUACUGCCAUACUACCCUGAAUGCACAUGAUCUCAUCUGAUCCUGGAAGCUAAGCAGGGUUGAGCCUGUUUAGUACUUAGAUAGGAGACCAUCUGGGAAUCCUGGGAGUUGCAGGCU
rnacentral:rRNA from 1 species